rnacentral:lncRNA from 1 species
UAAGAUCGAUCUGAUCGGAAAAAAAAAAUGUUAAGAAAUAUACGUAGAGCUGCUAUACUUUCGGAAGCAUAAAAAAGUUGGCGCUUCCGACUAUUUAGCUUUUAGAUCAGGAACUGCAUGUAUGAUUAGAAUUAAUGCAGUGAUCUCUCCUGAAAAAAUAAUAUUAAUCCAUGCAAUUAGAAAUGAUAAAAAAGAUUGAACCAAAGGUUAAAAAUUUGGAAGCACCAACUCCUUUAUGCUUCCGAAAGUGCCACAGUCGACGGACUCG